AAGGGUAUAGCUCAGUGGUAGAGCGCAUGCCUAGCACGCGUGAGGUCCUGGGUUCAGUCACCAGUGCUCCCG
rnacentral:tRNA from 1 species